rnacentral:other from 1 species
CAUCUCCUGCCCUGAUCGUGUAUUGAACGCUGUUCAUAUAACCCUACAAGUUAUUUCAUGGGAGCAUUCACUCCUGCGGCGGGUUUGCAGGCCUCCCGGUCAUGACCGGAUGUUGGAAGCGCAAAACCGCAGGGUAAGCACCCACCUGCUAUUUGCAGGUUAUACUCGACGGCCUCAUUACGACAGGGCGGGUCCUUU